CCUUCGAUAGCUCAGUCGGUAGAGCGGUGGACUGUAGCGGUCCAUAGGUCGCUGGUUCAAAUCCAGCUCGAAGGC
rnacentral:tRNA from 1 species